rnacentral:rRNA from 1 species
GCAAGUCGAACGUGAAGCCCAGAUUGAUUACUUCGGUAUGAUUUGUGGGUGGAAAGUGGCGAACGGGUGAGUAACACGUGGGUGACCUGCCUCAAAGGGGGGGAUAACCAUUGGAAACGAUGGCUAAUACCGCAUGUAUCUGCGGAUAUGGGAAUAUCGGUGGGAAAAGCUCCGGCGCUUAGAGAGGGGCCCGCGGUCGAUUAGCUAGUUGGUGAGGUAAUGGCUCACCAAGGCAACGAUCGAUAGCUGGUCUGAGAGGAGGAUC